rnacentral:rRNA from 1 species
CUUGAUUACAUAAGAGGUCCAGCCUGCCCAGUGACAUAAUUAAACGGCCGCGGUACCCUGACCGUGCGAAGGUAGCAUAAUCACUUGCCCUCUAAAUAAGGGCUUGUAUCAACGGCAUCACGAGGGUUAUACUGUCUCCCCUCUUUAAUCAGUGAAACUGACUUUCCCGUGAAGAGGCGGGAAUAAAAAUACAAGACGAGAAGACCCCAUGGAGCUUUAAACCCAAUAAUACCCUCUACUUACCAUAACCACUCAAUUAAGAAGCCCUAUCUAUUGGUUUUAGGUUGGGGUGACCCCGGAGUAAAACCAAGCCUCCACGACGAAUAGAUUCUGUCCCUAAUCCAAGAGCAACUACUCUACGAAUCAAUAUUUUGACGUAACCUGAUCCGCUUAGCGAUCAACGAACCA